GAUGAACGCUAGCGACCGGUUUAACACAUGCAAGUCGAGGGGCAGCAUUGUAAUUAGCUUGCUAAUUACAGAUGGCGACCGGCGCACGGGUGAGUAACGCGUAUGGAACCUGCCCUUUACAGGGGGAUAGCCCAUGGAAACGUGGAUUAAAAUCCCAUAAUACUUUAUUCGGGCAUCCGAAUGGAGUUAAAUCUACGGAGGUAAAGGAUGGCCAUGCGUCCUAUUAGCUGGUUGGCGGGGUAACGGCCCACCAAGGCGAUGAUAGGUAGGGGUUCUGAGAGGAAGGUCCCCCACAUUGGAACUGAGACACGGUCCAAACUCCUACGGGAGGCAGCAGUGAGGAAUAUUGGUCAAUGGGCGAGAGCCUGAACCAGCCAAGUAGCGUGAAGGAUGACGGCCCUACGGGUUGUAAACUUCUUUUGUGCGGGAAUAAAGGAACCUACGUGUAGGUUUUUGCAUGUACCGUAACGAAUAAGCAUCGGCUAACUCCGUGCCAGCAGCCGCGGUAAUACGGAGGAUGCGAGCGUUAUCCGGAUUUAUUGGGUUUAAAGGGAGCGUAGACGGGUUUUUAAGUCAGUUGUGAAAGUUUGGGGCUCAACCUUAAAAUUGCAGUUGAAACUGGAGACCUUGAGUACGGUUGAGGUAGGCGGAAUUCCCGGUGUAGCGGUGGAAUGCGUAGAUAUCGGGAGGAACACCAGUGGCGAAGGCGGCCUACUGGGCACC
rnacentral:rRNA from 1 species